rnacentral:snoRNA from 1 species
CUUUUGUGAUGAUUUUAACUAUUCAGUUCUGCUUCCGAAGAGAGAGCAAUCUCUUUGUGGAUACCCAUCUUACCAAAAAUACCAUUUCUGACCA